rnacentral:rRNA from 1 species
UACGUAGGGUGCGAGCGUUGUCCGGAAUUAUUGGGCGUAAAGAGCUUGUAGGCGGUUUGUCGCGUCUGCCGUGAAAGCCCAGGGCUUAACCCUGGGUCUGCGGUGGGUACGGGCAGACUAGAGUGUGGUAGGGGAGACUGGAAUUCCUGGUGUAGCAGUGAAAUGCGUAGAUAUCAGGAGGAAUACCGAUGGCGAAGGCAGGUCUCUGGGCUGACACUGACGCUCAUGCACGAAAGCGUGGGGAGCAAACAGG